UUUAACAGGCUACAGUAGCAACCCAUAACAUAACAUAAUAAAUGGAGACAGAACACCGCUCUAAAAAGAGACCCUGUGGGGAUGAGAAGUCCGGAUCAGAUCAUCCAUCUGAAGAGGAUGACUAUGUCCCAUACGUACCUGUCAAAAUCAGAAAGCAUCAAAUGCAACUGAAGAUGCUGCGUCUGCGAGGGAAGGUGGUAGAGAAGGAGCAGAAGGAUAGUGGAGGAGAGCAGAGAGAUGAGGACGAGGGUCUGGGA